rnacentral:rRNA from 1 species
AACGACUCUCGGCAACGGAUAUCUCGGCUCUCGCAUCGAUGAAGAACGUAGCGAAAUGCGAUACUUGGUGUGAAUUGCAGAAUCCCGCGAACCAUCGAGUCUUUGAACGCAAGUUGCGCCCGAAGCCUUCUGGCCGAGGGCACGUCUGCCUGGUGUCACUC